rnacentral:rRNA from 1 species
UGGGGAAUAUUGCACAAUGGGCGAAAGCCUGAUGCAGCGACGCCGCGUGAGCGAAGAAGGCCUUCGGGUCGUAAAGCUCUGUCCUAUGGGACGAUAAUGACGGUACCAUAGGAGGAAGCCCCGGCUAACUACGUGCCAGCAGCCGCGGUAAUACGUAGGGGGCGAGCGUUGUCCGGAAUGACUGGGCGUAAAGGGUACGUAGGCGGCCAGGUAAGUCAGGUGUGAAAGUCUAGGGCUCAACCCUAGUGAGCACUUGAAACUGCUUGGCUUGAGUCGAGGAGAGGAAGGUGGAAUUCCUGGUGUAGCGGUGAAAUGCGUAGAUAUCAGGAGGAAUACCAGUGGCGAAGGCGACCUUCUGGCCUUGGACUGACGCUGAGGUACGAAAGCGUGGGGAGCAAACAGA